rnacentral:rRNA from 1 species
CUUAGCGGCGGACGGGUGAGUAACACGUGGGCAACCUGCCUUAUACAGGGGGAUAGCCACCCGAAAGGGUGAUUAAUACCGCAUAACACUGUGAUGUCGCAUGGCAUUACAGUCAAAGGAGCAAUCCGGUAUAAGAUGGGCCCGCGACCCAUUAGAUAGUUGGUGAGGUAACGGCUCACCAAGUCUACGAUGGGUAGCCGAUCUGAGAGGAUGACCGGCCACAUUGGAACUGAGACACGGUCCAGACUCCUACGGGAGGCAGCAGUGGGGAAUAUUGCGCAAUGGGGGAAACCCUGACGCAGCAACGCCGCGUGAGCGAUGAAGGCCUUCGGGUCGUAAAGCUCUGUCUUUUGGGACGAUAAUGACGGUACCAAAGGAGGAAGCCACGGCUAACUACGUGCCAGCAGCCGCGGUAAUACGUAGGUGGCGAGCGUUGUCCGGAAUUACUGGGCGUAAAGGGUGCGUAGGCGGACCUUU